CAUCAUUGAGCUUUGAUUAUUAAAUCAUAAUUUGUUUAAUAGGACAACGCACAGGUGAUGACAUCAUUGAGCCUUGAUUAUUAAAUCAUUGAGCGUUGAUUAUUAAAUCAUUGAGCUUUGAUUAUUAAAUCAUUGAGCUUUGAUUAUUAAAUCAUUGAGCUUUGAUUAUUAAAACAUUGAGCUUUGAUUAUUAAAUCAUUGAGCGUUGAUUAUUAAAUCAUUGAGCUUUGAUUAUAAAAUCAUUGAGCUUUAGACCGAGUUUGGGAAACCCUGAAAUAGACUAGAUCAACGUAUCAAACUGCUGACACAAGACAAUACUUUUUUCUAAGUGUGGGCUGGAGGCUUAACUUGACUAAGGCUGUCAGGGUCUGGACAGACCAGAAUUAUUCUUUGUCAGAAUGUAAUGUGGCCACAGUGAACGAGGUACAUGUGUAGCGUCUCUCGGCUGGUAUUCUUUGUAAAAGUAAAUUGGUAUUUUACUUACAGGAGGAACACUUGUUUAAACAAUCUAAGGUGCUAAAAAUAACACAAUUAAACAGUGAUGUAUAGAUUAUAGUGAAACAUAUGUAGAAUUAUGGAUCAGCACAGCCAAGUCAAUGAGCAAAAGUGGGGGAUCUAUAAACCUGUAAAUGUUCCAAGAUGCACCAGAGGACCGUGUUUGAAAGAUUAUGAAAUGAAAUGUGAGUGGUGGGAACAGAAACAUUUAUACCAGUUGAUUUGAUCUGUGUCCAUGAUAUAUACUAUACAAUAGUCUGCUGGUCUCUGCACUUCUGCUGGAAUAUAUUAUAUUCAUAUCAAAACAACCAGGUGGCAUUCAAGUGUUGACGUUCAUUAUUCAAACAAGGUGCCAUUGGACAAUUAUGUUUUGUUGUUUAACUUGCUGAAUUUCGUCUCAGACCCUGUUAUCUGUUCUGUUUUUAAUUAUUAUAUACUGCUGGGUUUAUUUCUCUGUAUGGUUGUGUUUAUUUCACAGAGACUUGAUAUGUAAACCUAUUUUCAGAGUGUUUAUGUAGAAAGUGCCUAAUCAUAUCCCGAUUGAUCGCACAAAGCCAAUGUCAGGAAGCAUGCGAUGUACUGUACCUACGGAGAAAAACAUGGCUUUGGAGAGAAAAAGAUCACCUGAAUCCAUCAUUCUUUAGGACUACUGUAUAUUCAAGUAUCAUACCAUAUAUCAAUCCAAAAACCAUCACUAAAUUCAGUCCGGUGACAGUCUUCCCUUAACCAACUCAGUAUCCCCACGCAAUGCGUUCCAUCUUGUCAACAUUCUAAGCCUUUUCAUGUUCUAUUGGAACUGCCUGUUGAAACCAUGAGAAUUCCAUUCCAUAACUUUUGUGGUUUUAUUGCCUUGCAUUCAUCAUUCAGAUAGUGGUAAGAAUGCCAGCUAAUGCACUGCUGUGGCAAUACGGGAAGGUUUUAUUAUGCUUGCAUGGGUAAAAUAGUUAACUGGGUGACUGAACUGCACCCAAAGCAUGCUUAUUUUUCUAAAAUCGGUAGUCAGAUAGACUUGUAAAAGACUUACUGUUCUGUAAAGCGAAGAACGUUUGUAUGACGUGUCACAGAACUCUGAAAGAUGGAGGGCAGUUGAUUGGAAGGCAGAGAAGAAUCCUAAAAAUACAAACUAUGAUCAAUCUGCAGUAUUUACUGACCAUGUUUGUUGGGGUAGCAUGAGGGCAAGUUUUUCUAGAAGCAAGUUUUUUAAAAUUAAUUUAUUAAUUUUUAUUAAUUUGGAUCUAAAAAUAGUGUGCUCCCAAACCAACAGUAUACCGCAAGUAUUUUACGAGGCAACAACACACAGACACACACACACACACACACGCAGGCGACAGUACAUUGCACUGCACACAUCCAGAUAUGUCAGGGCAUAGUCAGUCUCACUUGUACACAGUUCAGCAGAGAGAGCUCAUCAUGUGUUAUUUUCCUAGCCUGCUCCUAGUCCUAGAGAACCGCUCACCUCCCUUCUGUAUUUUACUCAGGGUGCCAAAAUGGGGAGGAGGAAGUGGAGCAGGACGUUGAUGGUGAUUCAGUGUAGAGAGAGGACACACUAUUGAAAUAGGAUACAGAGCUUUCUGGAUAAAACAGGCAAAUUACUACUGAUCCUGGAUGCAUUAUUGGUAUCCAUUUCCUCUCAAGUAAGUAAGGUGAGCUGAGGAGAGACGUAAUGGCACGAUAACAGAACUAGGGGAUACAAGUCAUUCUAGUAUAGAUAAUUAUAAUUAGGACAAGCUCAUCACAAUUGACCGUAUGGUCAAUUGUUUCUGUCUUGGCUACAGCUCUGACAAAUUAAUUUGUAGGCAUUAUGGAACACUAGGGCUUAAAGUCUUACGUAAAUGCUUACCUUUCUUUUGUAGACUAUGCUUAUGAGUCUAGUAACACUUUAACCUUUGACCUCCUCUGGCUUGAUGGUUCUCAUUAAAACAAGGACUUGCUGUGUGUAUCUAUGGUUAUGUCAUAACAUCACACACAGCUUCAAAUAGUCUAUAAAGCUAUUCUCAGUUAUACAACAUUUAAUCUCAGUUAAGAUAUGGAUGAUGACAUGAUGUAACAUCUGAAUGAGGUCUUCCUGAGACGUACGUUGGGGUAGUUGAAGAUGAGGUCUUCCUGAGACAUACGUUGGGGUAGUUGAAGAUGAGGUCUUCCUGAGACAUACGUUGGGGUAGUUGAAGAUGAAGUCUUCCUGAGACAUACGUUGGGGUAGUUGAAGAUGAGGUCUUCCUGAGACAUACGUUGGGGUAGUUGAAGAUGAGGUCUUCCUGAGACGUACGUUGGGGUAGUUGAAGAUGACCAGAUCUUUUGGGACGGUUUUAAAAAAAGGCCUUCAGGUAUGGCCAUCUUCUGGAUGGUAUGACAGGUUAGCUAUAACAGGCACUUCAUAUGGAUUUUAUUACCUUCAUUACACUCUACUAAUUGACCUGAGGGACUGGACGGUAUCUCCUCCUCUUCCUUUGUCAAUGCACUCAAACUACUGAAAGGUAGGCACAUCAAGACAACAGAGCAGAAACCAUCUCACAACCUUUUCCACUUGUGGACACAGAGCAAUAAGCAUUCUUUUGUGGAGACCUAUAGACCUAGUGAAGAUAAAAAUGAUUGGACACAUGUAGUCGACGUACUCUUAUGCAAAUGCCAGUAUUGCAAGACAAGCAUUCAGUAGUUUAUGGACAGCAAUUGUAUGGCACCCUUUACCGAACUGCACGUUUUCAUCAAUUCCAAACCAAGAAGAAAAAAAUGGCCCUGCUUAAAUACAAAGUCGUGGGUCCUUGACACUUUGCAUGUGAACUAGUGUUAGAGCUAUUUUCCUCUCCUCUAUAACUGUCUUCCUCUCGGUCUUUCCCUGUUAUGUGACCCUCUCUUUCUUUCCUUCCCCUAUUAUUUCACCCACUCCUUAUUUUCGUUUCCCCUAUUGUGUUUUGCUUUCUCUCCUUUUUCUUCCCCCUCUUCCUUGUUUGUAAGUUUUAUUUUUGUAAUUGUGCAUGUACAAGCGUCACUGACUCGAUGGAUAUGUUUAAAAAAAAGCUGCUGAAGCCAUGCAAAACGUUUUGAAAUGCCCUUAAAAUAUGGAAGAUGUUUUCUGAAUGCUUUAUAUUCUUUCUGCUGUAAAAUAAUUAAAAAAAAUAAAAAAUGAAGAAA
ensembl:lncRNA